rnacentral:lncRNA from 1 species
CUGCUCCACCUGCAGUGUGAUAGGGAAUCUCUGUUGCCACGGAGGGCAGCUCAGUCCAGCGGGGAGGAGGAGCUGUCCCGGGCGGGUGGGCAGGGCCAGUUGGGAGACACAGGUGUCUGGAAGGACCCAGUGGAUGAGGCCUGGAGCUAAAGGCCAGACCCUGAGGACACAGUCCCGCCGCGUCUUCUAGAGAAAGUCAGACCCAGCAGGGCAGGUGCCAGGCGGGUGCUGUGCCUGCCUCUUGAUGCUGGGAACCUCCUCUCCAGCCUGGUCCCUCACCAGAGGCAGCCCUUAAAGACUAUCCACCCCACCCCCUCAUUUACUCAUGGGGAAACUGAGUCCCACAGAACAAACGGGCAGCAGCACCAGGCCUCCUGCUCUCAGGGACGGGCCAGCAGGGAGAGAGCAGUGACCAGAACCCAGGACCCCGCC